CAAUAGCGUAUAUUAAAGCUGUUGCAGUUAAAAGCUCGUAGUUGGAUCUCGGGUCCAGACUAGCGGUUCACCUCGCGGUGAUUACUGCCCGUUCUGACCUACCUACCGGUUGUCCCUUGGUGCUCUUGACUGAGUGUCUCGGGUGGCCGGAACGUUUACUUUGAAAAAUUAGAGUGUUCAAAGCAGGCAGUACGCCUGAAUAAUGGUGCAUGGAAUAAUGGAAUAGGACCUCGGUUCUAUUUUGUUGGUUUUUCGGAACUUGAGUAUAUGAAUAAAGGGACGGACACGGGGGACCGGGGGACUUACGUUUACGUUUAACGGUUUACGGGUUUAGGUUAAGGGUAGGGUAAAGUUAAACUUUUCGGUUAGGUACGUCCCGGUAACCGGUAAACGGAAACCGUAAACCUUACGUCGGAAACGGAAACGACUUUAGUUUCCGAACCGAACGACUAGUUUUUCCGUUUUUUAACCUUUAACUAACGAAAACGG
rnacentral:rRNA from 1 species